rnacentral:piRNA from 1 species
UGAAAUAAAACCACGACUCAC